GAACGGGUGAGUAACACGUGGGUGAUCUGCCCUGCACUUUGGGAUAAGCCUGGGAAACUGGGUCUAAUACCGAAUAGGACCACGCGCUUCAUGGUGUGUGGUGGAAAGCUUUUGCGGUGUGGGAUGGGNNNNCGGCCUAUCAGCUUGUUGGUGGGGUAAUGGCCUACCAAGGCGACGACGGGUAGCCGGCCUGAGAGGGUGACCGGCCACACUGGGACUGAGAUACGGCCCAGACUCCUACGGGAGGCAGCAGUGGGGAAUAUUGCACAAUGGGCGCAAGCCUGAUGCAGCGACGCCGCGUGAGGGAUGACGGCCUUCGGGUUGUAAACCUCUUUCAAUAGGGACGAAGCGCAAGUGACGGUACCUAUAGAAGAAGCACCGGCCAACUACGUGCCAGCAGCCGCGGUAAUACGUAGGGUGCGAGCGUUGUCCGGAAUUACUGGGCGUAAAGAGCUCGUAGGUGGUUUGUCGCGUUGUUCGUGAAAACUCACAGCUUAACUGUGGGCGUGCGGGCGAUACGGGCAGACUAGAGUACUGCAGGGGAGACUGGAAUUCCUGGUGUAGCGGUGGAAUGC
rnacentral:rRNA from 1 species